rnacentral:lncRNA from 10 species
CUUGGGGAAGUACACAGAAUAGAUCAAAGGAGAUAAGACUCAGCAGAAAGACCAAGAAAGCUCCACAAUAGCUCAGACGACAGAUGACUGUGGCCUGGCCCAGGGUGGUGGCAGCAGGGAAGAGGAGUGGAUGGGUUGGAAAACACCGCAGGAAGUAGGGCUCGAUGAGAGAGCCAGAGUGGAAGGAGCCAAGAGAUCAAGAAGGAGAAGUUGAAGAUGCGGGGAGACAGAGCUUGAUUAUCCAGUAGGAAGCAGCCUGUGUGAGAAGAGGACCGCUCCCCACCCCCAAGUAUCCACCAAGGCCAAGGAAUGGAACUAAGAACCACAGAGGAAAGUUGGCAGAGGUGCAGAGAGAUGGGCCAUGAGACUGCACUACGCUGGAACCUCAUCCCCCUGCUCUCUAUCCCAUGAAUCCAAAAUGUGCUUUCUGCCUUGAAGCCUCUAAAGAAUUCUCUUUCCUUACCAUAUCUGUCCUCUACCUCCAGAAGCCAAUUUUUCUUUUUCUUUAUCCCAAAUGUAAUAGUACAGAAGCCAGUUUUUAUUGAGCCAGCUUGAAUGGUUUCUGUCCCACGGGACAUGAAAGGCAGUGUCUUCUAGACAAGGUGUUUGAUGAGGAAUAGCUUCCUCCUCUCCCACCUGCACCAGCCCCAAACCUUCCGACUUGUUCUGUCUGCUUCCUUCUGCCGUGCCAGCCUGCCUACCUGUUGCACCAGGUCAGUGGGCUGAGCAAUGUGUUGACAAGAGCCAGAGUGGAACAAAGAGGACACAGGGGCAUCCAUCUGUUGGGACUGGCCAGACAGAGCUGACUUCUCAAACAGGGAGGUGUGGGCCCUCCCAAGCAGGAUGCCAUUGAAAGGAAGGGGAAACAUGGGGUGGAAUUUAGGCAGCCAGGAUUUGAGAAACUCAAGCAAGAUGGCUAGUGGAAACCUUCCCUCGGUUCCACUGAGCAGCUCCGUGCAGAUUCGG